GACGAACGCUGGCGGCGUGCUUAACACGUGCAAGUCGAACGGAAAGGCCCUGCUUUUGUGGGGUGCUCGAGUGGCGAACGGGUGAGUAACACGUGAGUAACCUGCCCUUGACUUUGGGAUAACUUCAGGAAACUGGGGCUAAUACCGGAUAGGAGCUCCUGCUGCAUGGUGGGGGUUGGAAAGUUUCGGCGGUUGGGGAUGGACUCGCGGCUUAUCAGCUUGUUGGUGGGGUAGUGGCUUACCAAGGCUUUGACGGGUAGCCGGCCUGAGAGGGUGACCGGCCACAUUGGGACUGAGAUACGGCCCAGACUCCUACGGGAGGCAGCAGUGGGGAAUAUUGCACAAUGGGCGGAAGCCUGAUGCAGCAACGCCGCGUGCGGGAUGACGGCCUUCGGGUUGUAAACCGCUUUCGCCUGUGACGAAGCGUGAGUGACGGUAAUGGGUAAAGAAGCACCGGCUAACUACGUG
rnacentral:rRNA from 1 species